UACGGGGGGGGCAAGCGUUGUUCGGAAUUACUGGGCGUAAAGGGCUCGUAGGCGGCCAACUAAGUCAGACGUGAAAUCCCUCGGCUUAACCGGGGAACUGCGUCUGAUACUGGAUGGCUUGAGUGUGGGAGAGGGAUGCGGAAUUCCAGGUGUAGCGGUGAAAUGCGUAGAUAUCUGGAGGAAUACCGGUGGCGAAGGCGGCAUCCUGGACCGACAUUGACGCUGAGGAGCGAAAGCUAGGGGAGCAAACGGG
rnacentral:rRNA from 1 species